rnacentral:rRNA from 1 species
UACGUAGGGUGCGAGCGUUGUCCGGAAUUAUUGGGCGUAAAGAGCUCGUAGGCGGUUUGUCGCGUCGACUGUGAAAACCUACAGCUUAACUGUGGGCUUGCAGUCGAUACGGGCAGACUUGAGUUCGGUAGGGGAGACUGGAAUUCCUGGUGUAGCGGUGAAAUGCGCAGAUAUCAGGAGGAACACCGGUGGCGAAGGCGGGUCUCUGGGCCGAUACUGACGUGAGGAGCGAAAAGCGUGGGGGAGCGAACAGG